UACAGAGGUCUCAAGCGUUGUUCGGAUUCAUUGGGCGUAAAGGGCGCGUAGGCGGCAAGGCAAGUCGAGUGUGAAAGCCCCGGGCUCAACCUGGGAAUGGCGCUCGAUACUCUUGUGCUUGAGUUCGGGAGAGGAGCGUGGAAUUCCCAGUGUAGAGGUGAAAUUCGUAGAUAUUGGGAAGAACACCGGUGGCGAAGGCGGCGCUCUGGACCGAGACUGACGCUGAGGCGCGAAAGCGUGGGGAGCAAACGGG
rnacentral:rRNA from 1 species